UAAGACCAGAUGUUGUGGAUUAUAACUCAAUCUCCCACUUCCCAAUGCUAUAAUCUACAAGUUGCAAAAGUGACGCUUCUGAUUUCAGAAUCUGAGAGUAUUUAUUUGCUUUACCAAUAUUGCCCUCAUCUAAUUUGCUAUAUUACCUGAUAUCAUCAGUUUUUACACGCUCUCAACUCACAAACUUCAUUCUAGACUUUCAGAAAACUGAUCGACGUCAAACAGAGCUCUCGUUUCUCUCCAUUUACAUAUCUGCAACAAAUCACUCAUCACAAUCUUAUUUGGUAACUGAUUCGAGGAAGAGGGACUACUCUAUUGCAAUUAGAAGAAGGUUGUAUCUACUUCCUUAUAACCUAGCAAAGAUGGCAAACAAGAGUGGAAUACAGGAAAAAGGAAAGGCUACUUGGACUGAUCAUAAUGUAGAUGUCUUUUGUGACCUUUGUAUCAAGGAGAUUGAGAAAGGAAGUCGUCCAGGUACUCACCUCACACCAAAAGGUUAUGAAAAUUUGGGCAUUAACUUCGCUAAAGAGACGGGACUUCAAUAUACUAAAUCUCAAUUCAAAAAUAAGUGGGAUUUAUUAAGAGAUCAAUGGAAAUUGUGGAAAGAACUAAUUAGGAAGGAGACUGGUUUGGGGUGGAACCCCAAACUGAAAACUGUAGAUGCACCUGAUGAAUGGUGGUGUAGUAAAAUUUAGGUUUGUAAUUUUCUAGUGCAGUUUUUAAUGUGGCAUUUUGUUAAUUUACAAUGAACUUAUUUCAACAGUCAUCUUUUUUAAAAUGUAGGACAAUCCUGAAUAUGCCAAAUUGCGUAAAAAGGGAAUAAACCCUGAAUUGGAAGAGAAGCUAGAUAUGAUGUUCCAACAAGUUACUGCAAGUGGUGUUCAUGCUUGGGCACCAUCUUCUGGUGUACUUCCACCUGAUCAUAUAGAAGUUAACAAUGUUGCAGUUCCAUUAGAUAGCGAUGAUGAUUUGGCAUGUCCCAUUGAAGUCAUUGCCAGUUCUUUAGGUAAGAGGAAAAGGACACCAACAAAACAAGUUAAUGCAGGUACUGAGAAAAAUAAUAAAUCCAAAGGUAUAGGAUCAAGAAAGAUUGGAGGUGCAGCUAAGU